GAGAAUUAUCUUUUUAUUUAGUAUAUUAAAGAAUUAUAUUUUUUUGUUAUAGUUUAAUAGUACUGUGAAGGAAUUGAUGAAAUACAUUAAAGAAUUAUUUUAUUAAAAGUAUGUUUUAUUGCAGUACCUUUUGUAUCAGGGUUAAUCAAUUCAAUUAAUGCAUAUUUAUAUCUCGAUUUCAUAGGAGCUAAGUUGUUAUUUUAAUUAAUGUGGGAUAAUUAUUAAAAAUAAAAUUUGGUGAAGAUAUUUCAUACGACUUUGAAGGUAUCUAGUUUUUUAAGAAAUAAAUUUAAUUUAACUUCAAUUUUUAAUUAUUAUAUUUAUUUAUUUGUUAUUAAUUGAAAUAAAUAUUGUAGGGGAUAAGCUCUAUAUUUUUCUAUAAAAGUUUUUAUUAAUAUAUUACUGUAGGGUUAGAAUUAUCCAUCAUUAUUAAGUGUGUUAUAAUUUAUAUUUAUAAUUAAUUUAUUUUAUUUUUUUUAGAAUUUUAUUAAAAUAAUAAAAUUAAUUUUUUAUUUUGAGUAAUAAUGAUUAAAUUAGUAUAGAAUAUUGUUUAUUAUAUUGUUGUAGUAAUAAUAAAAUAAGGAACUCGGCAAAUGUAGUUCUCGCCUGUUUAUCAAAAACAUGUCCUUUUGAAUUUAAUUUAAGGUCUGACCUGCCCAGUGAUUAUUUUUUAACGGCCGCGGUAUAUUGACCGUGCAAAGGUAGCAUAAUCAUUAGUCUUUUAAUAGAGGGCUGGUAUGAAAGGUUCAACGAAGAACUGACUGUCUCAUUUUAUUUGUUUUAAAAUUUAAUUUUUUGGUUAAAAAGCUAAAAUAUUAUUGGAAGACGAGAAGACCCUAUAGAUCUUUACAUAAUUGUAUUUAGUUAUUUAUAUAUUAAUAUGUCUAUUUGAGUUUAUGUUUUGUUGGGGUGACAAAAAUAUAUAAUUAACUUUUUUAUUUUCAUAACAUUGAUUUAUGAAUAUUAGAUCCUUUAUUAUUGAUUAUUAGAUCAAGUUACCUUAGGGAUAACAGCGUAAUCCUCCUCCAGAGUUCAUAUUUACAGGAUGGGCUUGCGACCUCGAUGUUGGAUUAAGAGAAUAGUUAGGUGUAGCCGCUUAAAUUGUAGGUCUGUUCGACCUUUAAAUUCUUACAU
rnacentral:rRNA from 1 species